GCUGCAACCAAAGCAUAGAACUGGAAUAGCAGAUGUCCUUUGCCAAAGCUCCACAGCCUUGUUUCUUCUCUCUUGUUGUGGCUGUGGCCAGGGUGUGGAUUAAUCUAAGCAGCAAUCUGGGUAGCAAUGGAUGUUGAGAGCAGUGGCAUCUGGGGAGCAUGCAAAGACACAUGUGCUGCUUGGAUUUGGUGGUGGUGGUCCCUGAGCAUGGA
rnacentral:lncRNA from 1 species